rnacentral:rRNA from 1 species
UACGAAGGGGGCUAGCGUUGUUCGGAAUUACUGGGCGUAAAGCGCGCGCAGGCGGUCCUUCAAGUCAGAGGUGAAAGCCCAGAGCUCAACUCUGGAACGGCCUUUGAGACUGAGUGGCUUGAGUACGAGAGAGGUGAGUGGAAUUCCCAGUGUAGAGGUGAAAUUCGUAGAUAUUGGGAAGAACACCGGUGGCGAAGGCGGCUCACUGGCUCGUAACUGACGCUCAUGCACGACAGCGUGGGGAUCAAACAGG